rnacentral:rRNA from 1 species
AAACCGUACCGUAAACCGACACAGGUGAAUAGAUUGAGUAAAUUAAGGCGUUGAGAGAAUUGUGUUGAAGGAACUCGGCAAAAUGACUCCGUAACUUCGGGAGAAGGAGUAGCUUUAUUGGGGAAACCUGAUAAAGCUGUCACAAAAUCGGGGACAGCGACUGGUUAAUAAAACCACAGGUUUCUGCUAAUUUGUAAAAAGAUGUAUAGAAACUGACGCCUGCCCAGUGCUGCAAGUGUAAAGUAAAAAGUCUUUUGGCUUUGAGCCUAAAACCCAGUAAACGGCGGCUGUAACUCUGACGGUCCAAAGGUAGCGAAAUUCCUUGGCAUUUAAUUGGUGUCCUGCAUGAAUGGCGUAACGACUGUCCCACUGUCUCCAACACAAACUCAGUGAAAUUGAAUUCUCCGUGAAGAUGCGGAGUACCUGC